rnacentral:tRNA from 1 species
GGGAGCGUGGCUCAGUGGCAGAGCAUCUUCUUGGCACACGGAAGUUCCCAAGUUCAAUUCCUGACAUCUCCA